rnacentral:tRNA from 1 species
GGGGAUGUAGCUCAGUGGUAGAGCACAUGCCUGGCAUGCAUGAGGUCCUGGGUUCAAUCCCCAACGCCUCCA